rnacentral:tRNA from 1 species
AGCUCCGAGGUGUUUUACAUGCUGGAUUGCAAACCCAGAGUAGUAGACUAGCGUCUACCGGGGCUU